CAGUGCUUGUCAUCAUGGUAUCACCCUCACCACUGAAACAAGAGUAGGCCAAUCCCCUUUAACGUCUCUUCUUGUCUGUAUUCCGGGAUUAACUCGGGAGUGGAUUUCUUAAACCGCGCAGAGGGGCAUCGUGGCUAUCACCUGUCCUCCGAGGGGUUGAAAUUGCUCACAUUUUCCACAGCAGGUGAAUUAUCGCUGUCAAUGAGUUGCUAGCAAUGCGGGUGGCUAACGUUGCAUAGGUCAGGUGGAAGGAUCACACAAGGAAGCAAUCAGGCAGUGCUGCUUCCCCGGUUAACUCCAUCAAGUGUAACUGCAGACAGCUAUUUCGUUACGGCCUCGCCGUGUACUGCAGCGUCCGAAGGAAACGACACACUGCUAAAUGGGAUGCGGUCUAAUACCUGAGAGAAACACACACAGUGACCCUGGGCUGCUGCACGGUUAGCUUAGCCGCACUACCUAGCCAAGGAUGGAGAGGCGAAGGGGGGGAAGUUAGCCCGUUAACGUUACCUUAUUUAUUCCAGACAGUGCGGCUCUUUCGCUCGUGACGUCCGAGCGACACGGCCGCCGUUAAGUACACAGGGGUCUUCUUUAAAAGAAUAAAAAAACAAACAGUUCAGCCGCCGCGGUAGCUUAAAGAACAAAACAGUGUUUGUGGUGUGAAACGGCGUUAUUACGAACGGAGGCUGGUUGACUAAAUCUGUAUCUUGUAGUCUCUUGUGUGCUGUGUGUUGGAGCGAGUCCAUGGGCUAAACCAUUUGCUCUGUGAGAAGGGGGGGGGGGCGCUGAAUGAAGUGCUGAAGUUUGCAUUCUCAAUCUGGUUCAAACGUAACGUUUGCUGUGCUGUCAGGUAGUACGUGUGUAGUUAUAUAAAUUAUAUUGUUUUCGUUUGAACUAGAAGUGAAUGACAGCAUAAGUCUCACCAAAGCUGUAAGAGCAUCUCAGGAAGAUCAAGAUCGGUAUGUUUAACAAGUUCUACAUAUUGUUACAUAACGCUGAGUUGUUGUGGUAAAACUAUGGAGUUAAACAUUUACAUAUAACAAACAUUUGACCUCAAAUGUAAGCUUUUACUACUUAAGGGUUUACCGUGAUCACUGAUGGAUCUUAUGGGAAGGAUUCCCUCCUAAUUUUGGUUAAUGUCCUCCACUAAUGUUUACUCCGAAGAGGAAGAACUGACUUCUGCGUCCAUAUUGAAAUGGACAUUUUUACUUUCUAGGUAAUAAGCUUCAAGUCAGUCAGGAGAAUUGUUGUGUUUAAUUAUUUAUUUUCUAUUCAUUUUCAUUAUGCAACAAUUACUUUUAUAGGAACUGAGAGAGGACAGUUGACAGUUCACUAUGUAAAGGAAGGGAUGCAUUUUUAUUACAUAUCACUUAUACAUACAUACAUUUUCAUUUGGGUUACCAAAAAUGUAUUAUGAG
ensembl:lncRNA